GUAUUUGAUUCGACCGAUUACAGAGAAUCGAGACGAGGGUUCAGUCCAAAAGGUUCAAAAGAAGCGUGGUUUGAGAGAAAACUCUGGCAGGCCAAAGGUGUCUCUCCCCUCUGUGUGAGAGGAAAGAACCUCCAUUCGCUUCGAAUCCUGAGAUCGAAGACGACUCCUGCCAAAGUGAACGGUCAAUGAGUGCACACAAGGUGGAUAUGGAUUUGAUCGUCCAUAUUUCGGGUCGAUCUUUCUAAUGAUCCUUCCGCAGGUUCACCUACGGAAA
rnacentral:misc_RNA from 1 species